UGGCCAACCAGGAGCAGGAAGCACUCCUAACAACCUGAUUGUGGUUUCCAAAUACCAUUUGGGAAAGUACCAAAAUUCCAAAAGGAAAGAAGAGGGCUCCUUGGAAAAUGGCGACUUAAAGGAAAUACUAGGAAUAGAAGAGCAUGUUAAACUACACCAUGCAGAUGCAGCCAGCAAAAACCAGACUUGGAGAAGCUCUAUGAGGCAAAUUACCUAGUUUCUUCAAAAAACAAGAAGUUGCAAAAAAACCCAGUAAGGGAGAAUAGAUUGAGUAUAAUAGAUU